rnacentral:tRNA from 1 species
GGAAGUGCGCCGGAGCUGGAGAGCCGGGACAGACUGUAAAUCUGUUGCUUUAUAGCUGAGUAGGUUCGAAUCCUACCACUUCCA